rnacentral:rRNA from 1 species
CUCAUGGGAGCGGGUCUCGCCGAGUAGGUAGCCUAACCGCAAGGAGGGCGCUUACCACGGCGGGGUUCGUGACUGGGGUGAAGUCGUAACAAGGUAGCCGUAUCGGAAGGUGCGGCUGGAUCACCUCCUUU